UACGUAGGGGGCUAGCGUUGUCCGGAUUUAUUGGGCGUAAAGAGCGUGUAGGCGGCCAUGUAGGUCAGCUGUGAAAACUCGAGGCUCAACCUCGAGACGUCGGUUGAAACCACCUGGCUAGAGUCCGGAAGAGGAGAGUGGAAUUCCCGGUGUAGCGGUGAAAUGCGCAGAUAUCGGGAAGAACACCCGUGGCGAAGGCGGCUCUCUGGGACGGUACUGACGCUGAGACGCGAAAGCGUGGGGAGCGAACAGG
rnacentral:rRNA from 1 species